rnacentral:rRNA from 1 species
UACGUAGGGUGCAAGCGUUGUCCGGAAUUAUUGGGCGUAAAGAGCUCGUAGGCGGCUUGUCGCGUCGGCUGUGAAAACCUGGGGCUCAACCCCGGGCCUGCAGCCGAUACGGGCAAGCUAGAAUUCGGUAGGGGAGACUGGAAUUCCUGGUGUAGCGGUGAAAUGCGCAGAUAUCAGGAGGAACACCGGUGGCGAAGGCGGGUCGAGCUGG